rnacentral:tRNA from 1 species
GCGCCCAUAGUUCAGUGGAUAGAAUGUUUGACUUCGGAUCAAAAGGUCGUGGGUUCAAAUCCUUCUGGGCGCACC